rnacentral:rRNA from 1 species
AUUGAACGCUGGCGGCAUGCCUUACACAUGCAAGUCGAACGGCAGCGGGGGAGAAGCUUGCUUUUCCUGCCGGCGAGUGGCGAACGGGUGAGUAAUACAUCGGAACGUGCCCUGUAGUGGGGGAUAACUAGUCGAAAGAUUAGCUAAUACCGCAUACGACCUGAGGGUGAAAGUGGGGGACCGCAAGGCCUCAUGCUAUAGGAGCGGCCGAUGUCUGAUUAGCUAGUUGGUGGGGUAAAGGCCAACCAAGGCGACGAUCAGUAGCUGGUCUGAGAGGACGAGCAGCCACACUGGGACUGAGACACGGCCCAGACUCCUACGGGAGGCAGCAGUGGGGAAUUUUGGACAAUGGGCGAAAGCCUGAUCCAGCAAUGCCGCGUGUGUGAAGAAGGCCUUAGGGUUGUAAAGCACUUUUGUCCGGAAGGAAAUAGCUCUGGUUAAUACCUGGGGUCGAUGACGGUACCGGAAGAAUAAGGACCGGCUAAGUACGUGCCAGCCGCCGCCGUAACAC